rnacentral:rRNA from 1 species
GACGAACCGUGCGAACGUUAUUCGGAAUCACUGGGCUUAAAGCGCGUGUAGGCGGGCCGCCACGUCGGCUGCUGAAAUCCCCCGGCUCAACCGGGGAAGGGGCACCGAUACGAGCGGCCUGGAGGGGGGUAGGGGAGAAUGGAAUUCCCGGUGUAGCGGUGAAAUGCGCAGAUAUCGGGAGGAACACCGGUGGCGAAGGCGGUUCUCUGGGCCUUACCUGACGCUGAGGAGCGAAAGCGUGGGGAGCGAACAGG